rnacentral:lncRNA from 1 species
UCCCGGUACCCCACUCCUUCUCACUGCAGCUCUUCCAUCCUGGCUCCUCUCCGGGCAUUCAUCUGAGCUGCAGCCACCAACCCAGCCUUGGCCUUGUGCAGUCCUCUUGGAAAGACUAGGGUGUGGGGAAAACAGACAACGUGGGAGUUCAUGCUCCUGCUCCUCCUGCCUGUCCCAUCCACCUCCCCCUCCACACCCGUUCCUGCUUGUCCAGCUCCUGUGUCACCCGGCUCCUCCCCCCACAAGCUUCCCACCUCCACGUCCUGAGCUGUUCCUCCUCACAGAGCCCCGGGAAAUAGGCCCAGCCCCAUAAGUAGCAGCCACAGUCAUUUCUCUGGAAAGGUGCCCAUGUUGCCAGCUGUCCCCAGACAUGCCCACGCAGACACUG